AAGUCGUAACAAGGUCUCCGUUGGUGAACCAGCGGAGGGAUCAUUACCGAGUUUACAACUCCCAAACCCCCUGUGAACUUAUACCUUUACACCGUUGCUUCAGCGGGUCUUCGCCCCGGGACGCCAGGCCUCUCCUGCCCUUCUCCCCCUCGCGGGGGUGCUGGGUUGGCGGCCUGGCCCCCGGAACCAGGCGCCCGCUGGGGACCCAAACUCUCUGUAUUUUCUGAACUUUCGGCAUGUCUGAGUGGAAUCAUUACUGAAUGAAUCAAAACUUUCAACAACGGAUCUCUUGGUUCUG
rnacentral:misc_RNA from 1 species